AUAAUCUACUCAAUUAUCGGUAAUCCACCGGACGGAAGACAGCAAUUAACCCAUCACAGAUGGUGUUUAAGUGAAGCGAUGAAAAAUCAAUUCCCACACACGUGCUGCAUACAGACUGCUGAUUAAAAAGCCCUCUCCUUUCCCUCACCCUCGUGUUCCCCUUUUCCACCCACUCGUUCUUGCUUCUCUCUUGCACACUCAAACACAAGUGACCCCGGUACGAAUGGAGGGCACUCUCUACUUACGAAAACCUAUCAAUCAUCUGCUUCCCCCGUGGUCCCAGUGGAUGCGAGCGGUGUAAGUGAAACGUGAAACGUCCCACUGGGGGGAACAAAAUCCAAUCCACCAGGUCAACCCAGUGAGCCCAGUAUUGGUGAAGGAGACUGAGCCAUUUCUGUGAAAACCAUGCUAGACACUCCCAACGGGACCACUUCCACCACCGCAACCCACUAUCCCGGUGUGAUGAGUUUCCUUAACGCCGCCGGUUCAACCUUUCUCGAUGGCCUCAGCGGCACAGCGGUCAGCAGUGGUGGAGCGUUGCUGCCCGCGGGAAAUUCUUCACCCACCCUCGGCGGAAGCGUGUCGCCACUGGUCAACUACUCGUCGGUGGUUAGUUCCUCGCCGUCACCGGCCACCAUGCUGUCGAGCGGUUCGGCGAACGGUUCGAUGGCACCGCUGCUUACGACGGCCCUGCUGAACGUGAACGGUACGGGGCUAGAGUACGGCGACACGGGCAGCAAUCUGACCCACUCGUUCACCAACUUCGUGCACAAGGAGUUUAUCUUCGACCGGACGGAUGUGCGAGUAAUAUUCAUCACGCUCUACUCGCUGGUGUUUUGCUGCUGUUUCUUCGGAAACCUGCUCGUAAUUCUCGUGGUGACACUCUCCAGAAGGUUGCGCUCGAUAACCAACUUCUUCCUCGCGAACCUGGCCGUAGCUGACCUGUGCGUGGGGGUGUUUUGCGUGAUGCAGAACCUCACCAUCUACCUGAUCGAAAGCUGGGUGUUUGGAGACUUCCUGUGCAAGAUGUACCAGUUUGUGCAUUCGCUCAGCUACACCGCCUCGAUAUUCAUCCUGGUCGUCAUCUGCAUGGAGCGCUACUUCGCCAUCAUCCAUCCGAUCACGUGCAAGCAGAUCCUCACCUCGCGCCGCCUAAGGCUCGUGAUCGUUGCCGUUUGGAUAACGUCCGCCGUCUACUCCAUCCCGAAGUUUAUCUUCGUGCGCACCAUCACGAACAACCUGGGCGACGACCAGCUGGAAACGAUCUGCAUCGUCAACCGGAAAAUGUUCAACUCCGAGCUGUUCGACAUUAUCAACUUUGCCCUGCUGUACCUGCUUCCGCUGCUGGUUAUGACGGUUCUGUACAGCCGAAUAGCGAUAGCGCUGUGGAAAAGCUCACGGGGGCUGGAGCGGCACAUCGCGCUGCAAAAUACGACCUCGUCAAGCUACUCGAGCAAUUUCCACCGGAAGCCGAGCAGCAAGUAUGACAAGCGAACCACAGGUGUCACCGAAAGCCAGGUGUCGGUAGAGUCGGACAAGGUGGUAGUAACAACGUGGCCGGCACAGAACAGCUUCCACCAACGGCACGGCACCCAGCUAACGCAGGUGUCCCACUCGUCCAACAACGUGCUACGGGCGCGCCGUGGUGUUAUUCGCAUGCUGAUGGUGGUGGUGCUAACGUUUGCCCUCUGCAACCUACCGUUUCAUGCCCGAAAGAUGUGGCAAUAUUGGUCCACCGACUACAAGGGUGAUUCCAACUUCAACGCACUCUUCACACCGCUCACCUUCCUGGUGACGUACUUCAACUCCGGCGUCAACCCGCUGCUGUACGCCUUCCUGAGCCGCAACUUUCGCAAAGGCAUGCGCGAGCUGUUGCUGUGUUCCUUCAAGAAGAACAAAAACAAAUCGCUCAACCAGCGUAUCCCGCUGCACCGACCACGAUCCGUCCUAGUGCUGCUGCGACAUGCCAUGCUAUGCUGGGCCACGGACAAACCGACCGUCUCCCUGGCGACGCAUUGCCCUUCGCCGACUACCCGCUCGCUCGAUGGCGUCGACGAGCGGAUGCUGUGAUGGGAGCACCGGUCAAGGAUGAGAUGAGUCGGCGAAACUGAAUGUGUCAGGCCAAAGCCAGGAAGCGGUUGGAGUAGGAAUCAGCUCUGACUCGGUUCGGUUGGUUCGUUGUCUUGCUCGCAUAGAAGCAUCACGCUCGAAAGUUGCUCGAACCGCUUGGUUAGGGUGUCUGAUGCCGUGCUAAACCCAUGAAAGAGACCGAGCUAAAAACAGAACGGAACCAUUCCUUACCGACCGAUUCGACCCAUGUAGGAUUUCCCCAAUGAUGCCACGACCUGAUCGACCGCGGGUGCUGCAGUCGGUGCGUCGGCAGCGGCCGGGACACGGGUAGGGCCAGCCGCCCCCGCCGCCGCCGAGAGCACCGCUAACGCACCCGGCACCACUGGCACCCGGUCGCGGGUGCACCGCUUCCGUCAGCAUCCGCUCUUCCGGCGCAACGAGCUGCUAUUUCGCCGCACGAACGAGCUGGUAAGCAACGGGGACGAGGACGACGACGAGGACGAUGAGGACGAUCUGAACGAACCGGCAACGACGCUGUCCACCGCAACGAUGGCUCCACCGCUGACGGUAAGCGUCAUCGAGCUGGGCAGUGGACGGUAAAGCGGUUUGUCAUCAUCGCGACGUCCACGACUGUGUUACAAACAGUAUUCUAUGUUAUUUCCCAUCGACAUCGAAAGCGAAGCGUUGCUCAAGCGUGGCGCACAACGAAAGCUUAACAAUUAAAGAGAUCCCAGAGUCAGAUGAGUGUCAAUCAAUAGAGCAAGCGAUUGAGUGCGAGGAAGAAGGCAAGCAGGCCAGGUUCAAUUUCACACCACAACGAAACGUAUGCCAAUUUGUAUAGCGUACUCGCGUCCAAAAGUUGUUUUUCCUCCCCAAUCCUAUUGGUAUGUGUGUGCGUGAUUGGUUCCGAAUGGAAACUUUUGGCCCAAUUACGCCCAUGAUGACUGCUACUAGAUUCGCUUAUUGCCAUCCUUAUUUGCACACUCUUCCUGCUACUCGUGUCGUGGAAAGGGAGUGCCUGUGUGCUAGUGUGAGACAACAAAUGAUGCCAAAAUUGCAGACGAAAGAAAUGGGGCGAAGAGAGCAUUAAGUAGCUGCCGCCGAAUACUGGAAGCUGUUAGCACUGACAAUAGAAAGUUUCGCUUAAUAGCAAUGAUGUACUACCGUUUCCUCCGGCUGCUAGCGAGAUUUGCCGCCGAAUGCUGAAAGUUUGUUUUCCCCGCACCAUUUUUACCAAAGAACGUAUAGGGUUGAGCGAGUCACCAUUUCAAUACUACCACAGUAGAUCUUCAUAGCAGCGCAGAAUAGUGGUAAGCAUAGCCCCGCGGCGGCAGAAUGAAAUGCAGACAGAAACCAAUUAGGAAUCACGUACGGAACGGAACAUAUUUUUGUAAAAAAAGCAGAGCAAUGUGUUGAGAACAGACUGUUUGGUACGAUUUUUUUUUUUAGAUCAAUGAACUAUUUUCUGCUGGGGUUUGAAUAUUUGACUUGUAAAACUCUUUGUACGCUUUACAGUAGCGACUGUGGAAUUGAAUGUUUGUGGAGCUGCUUAGUUAGGAGGAGGAAUUAAAAUUUAAAAGCAAAUAUUUUGAGCCUAAAUUUAAGACCUAUUUUCGAGUACAAUGUAUUGAAUUGUUAUAUUUUUUUUACAAGUCUUUAUUUUUGGUACAGAAAAUUCAGUUUCAGAAAAUAAGUUCCACCAUUUUAAGAUUGUUCAUGGAACCAAUUUAUCAUUAAAAAACUGUAAUUACAAACAUUUAUUUCCUUUAAGUUUAUGUUACUUUGCCAUUAUAAAGAUCAACUGGUUGAACUUUUUUAACCUACAUUUUGUAGUUUUUAAUUAAACUGUGCUGAAACUUCACAUGUUUUAGUACAAUCAUUUUAAUUACAGACAAUAAAGAGAGCUAUGAUAUGAUAUGAUAUGAUAACUAUUUAUAUCCAUGAUUUUCAAAUAACUUCCUCAUGGUUUAGCCUCCUUUUGCUAAUGUUUGAUUUAGCAAACAUUUAAGUAAUCACAUAAACUAAUUGUGCUACGCUCUACGUAUAUUUCAUUUGCCCUCAAAUUAUUUCAAAUAACGAUACUGUGAUAAAGUACUGAACAAACGAUGGACGAAAGUGGCGCGGGAAUGGAACGAUGUUCAUGUAUACAUGUAUGAGAAAACCACUUGGCGACGCUGGAGAAACGGUUAAGCGAUGAAUCAAUUACAGUUCGUUUUCGUAUCGAAUCGAUUCCGAUUUUGCGAGAGAAAGAGAGAGAGAGAGAUGCAAACAGCGUGCACUGUAAACUGUAGAAAUACUGUAAAUCAAAGCAUAUUUUAAACCAGUAUCAUCCGCAUACGCAUUAGGACGUACUUAAACUCGUACCGAGCACGUGGGGAACAAACGCCCAGCCACGGUACUAGAGAGCAGGCGGAUGGAAGUUUGCCAAACAGGUCGAAUUGUUGAACAAUGAACUCUUCUAACGGAAAUGUUGUCGCUGAAGAUAAAGGUUAUAUUUAAAAAAAAAAGAAGUAUAUUUUUUCACACAUUAACCAUUACACCAGAGUUUGCUAAUGCGUUAGAUGAGAUAAGUACAUGAAUGGGGAGAAAAGCGGGAAAAAGCAUCGAUUGUUUAAGAAAAUGUUCCGGAUUCUUAAGAGCAGAGGCGAGAAAGAGUGUGGUGGGGACUAGAGAUUUUACGAGAGAUAGAACAAUUCGAAUUUUAAUUGUAGUUUCUACGAUUGGAGGUGAGGCGCGAGUGAGGCUCAAUGCAAAAUCAAAACCAGAAAGAAUUUAUUGUAUGCCCCAGGAAUAAGAUGAAUAAAAUUAUAGUGGUAAAGUAAACGUA